GAGGCUCAUCAUCAUCAUCGCGCCUCUCAUAAGCCGGCUUCUCGUAGCCCUCCUCUUCUUGCCCCUCAUUACUUGGCCUCCCAUAACUAGGCCUCCUCGGUGGCUCCUCCACCUCCGGACUCUCGUAGCUCGGCCUCCCAUACUGUGGCUUCCUGGGGGACCCUUCCCCACCAUAACCAUACCCGCCACCUUGUUCCUCUCCGAAGCUAGGUUUCCGACCGUACCCAGAUCCAUAUUCAGAACUCGGUGCUUCGUACUCAGGCCUCCGACCAUACCCAGAUCCAUACUCCGAACUGGGCUGCUCGAACUCGGGCCUCCGACCAUACCCAGAUCCAUACUCCGAACUAGGUUGCUCGUAUUCAGGCUUCCGACCGUACCCAGAUCCAUAUUCCGUGCUAGGCUGUUCGUAUUCAGGCUUCCGACCGUACCCAGAUCCAUAUUCCGAGCUAGGCUGUUCGUAUUCAGGCUUCCGACCGUACCCAGAUCCAUAUUCCGAGCUAGGCUGUUCGUAUUCAGGCUUCCGACCGUAGCCAGAUCCAUAUUCCGAGCUAGGCUGUUCGCAUUCAGGCUUCCGACCGUACCCGGAUCCGUACUCCGAACUGGGUUCCUCGUAAUCAGGCUUCCGCCCAUGCCCAGAUCCAUACUCACCCUCCCCACCAAAACUCGACGGCGGCUUCGGCUGAUACCCAUACUCACCACCAUCACCACUGCCUCCGAACCCUCCUUGGCCAGGAGGUGGUCCGGCGUAACCAAGGACCGGACGAGGCUUGGGACGAGCAUAGCUCUUGUAUUCAUUCUCAAGAGCUUCAUCACC
rnacentral:lncRNA from 1 species